UCCUGCGUAGCUCAGUUGGCAGAGCGUUCGACUGUUAAUCGAAUGGUCGCUGGUUCAAGCCCAGCCGCAGGAGCCA
rnacentral:tRNA from 41 species